ACACUUGGGUUCAUCUUCAUGAGGUGUAAUGGCGCCGGGAUGCGCUCUCCUCUUCUCAUUUGCCAAUUUAUUGCAGAUCCCUCCUCAAAAAAGUUUUGGGACUAACUCAGCCCCAUGGAGAUCAAGGUGAAUUAGAAAAACAACAAAACAAAACAAGAUUCAUUUUAACAUCUCAUUUUUCUAUCUCCAACUUUCCCUCCCCUCCUCCCACCCCAGGAAGAAAAGACUACGUUUGUUUCUGGUGAUACAUUCAUUGUAGGUGGGUGGGUGACUUCUAGAAGAGGAAAAUCAAGAAGAUUUGGAGAAGGAGUCUUGGAAGCUCUGGUGAAGUUUUCCAAAACUGGGAAGGACAGAGUCUGCUCAGCCUGUGUUAGUGGAGAAGAGGGAAGGAAACUGGCUGGAGGCCGCUGGACCCACAGAGGACAAUAGACAAUCUCCUGCUGAUGCCCACUGGAUCCAAAGAGAGAAACUCUAUAGAAUUAUGAUCUAGGUUUGACUGACUCCUGGCAAGAAGCCCUACCCGCCAGCCAAUUUGGAUGAGGAACACAGAAUCACUUGUGGAAUUAAGAGAUAAGGACAGCAAGUAGACCAAACUAUAAGCUGAGGUUCAAGGUGGCAUAGGCUGGGUGCCACAGUGCUGUGUCUCAGGUGGGCUAGAAGUGCGAAACGGACAGUACCAGAAGGAAAACUUGAGGGUCACAGGGGUCAUCCAUCUUUCCUUCUAUGUGACUGGUUUGCUCUUGCAUAUCAUGUUUUCCGCUCUUAUGCUCCAGAUCCAUCAUGAGAAGAACAUGCCCUGGAUUCCUGCUAUCCCUUUAGCCAUGGCUCCAAAAUUAACACACACAAGGAAGACCUGAGGUCAAUCCACAGCCUGGAUUCAAGUCACCUAAUACAUAGGAGAAUCAGAGCUACCCAGCCACACUCAAUCUACGUUAACUGAACCUCAGCUGACCUGCAGAUUUAUGAGUAUGAGAAUAAAGGCUUGUUAAUG
rnacentral:lncRNA from 1 species